rnacentral:rRNA from 1 species
GACAGAGGGUGCAAACGUUGUUCGGAAUUACUGGGCGUAAAGCGUGUGUAGGCGGUCUUGUAAGUCGGGUGUGAAAGCCCUGGGCUCAACCCAGGAAGUGCACUCGAUACUGCGAGGCUAGAGUAUCGGAGAGGUUGGUGGAAUUCUCGGUGUAGAGGUGAAAUUCGUAGAUAUCGAGAGGAACACCGGUGGCGAAGGUGGCCAACUGGACGAAUACUGACGCUGAGACACGAAAGCGUGGGGAGCAAACAGG